GCCGGGCGUGGUGGCGCGCGCCUGUAGUCCCAGCUACUCGGGAGGUUGAGGUGGGAGGAUCGCUUGAGUCCAGGAGUUCUGGGCUGCAGUGCGCUAUGCCGAUCGGGUGUCCGCACUAAGUUCGGCAUCAAUAUGGUGACCUCCCGGGAGCGGGGGACCACCAGGUUGCCUAAGGAGGGGUGAACCGGCCCAGGUCGGAAACGGAGCAGGUCAAAACUCCCGUGCUGACCAGUAGUGGGAUCGCGCCUGUGAAUAGCCACUGUACUCCAGCCUGGGCAAUAUAGUGAGACCCCGUCUCUU
rnacentral:SRP_RNA from 1 species